rnacentral:rRNA from 1 species
AUUGAACGCUGGCGGCAGGCUUAACACAUGCAAGUCGAGCGGGGUGAUGGUGCUUGCACUAUCAUUUAGCGGCGGACGGGUGAGUAAUGCUUAGGAAUCUGCCUAUUAGUGGGGGACAACAUCUCGAAAGGGAUGCUAAUACCGCAUACGUCCUACGGGAGAAAGCAGGGGAUCACUUGUGACCUUGCGCUAAUAGAUGAGCCUAAGUCGGAUUAGCUAGUUGGUGGGGUAAAGACCUACCAAGGCGACGAUCUGUAGCGGGUCUGAGAGGAUGAUCCGCCACACUGGGACUGAGACACGGCCCAGACUCCUACGGGAGGCAGCAGUGGGGAAUAUUGGACAAUGGGGGGAACCCUGAUCCAGCCAUGCCGCGUGUGUGAAGAGGGCCUUAUGGUUGUAAAGCACUUUAAGCGAGGAGGAGGCUCUUUUGGUUAAUACCCAAGAUGAGUGGACGUUACUCGCAGAAUAAGCACCGGCUAACUCUGUGCCAGCAGCCGCAGUAA